rfam:Ciona savignyi cont_21680, whole genome shotgun sequence.
GCCUUGAUGGCGCAGUAGGCAGCGCGUGAGUCUCAUAAUCUCAAGGUCGUGAGUUCGAUCCUCACUCGGGGCA